rnacentral:rRNA from 1 species
CCUACGGGUAGCAGCAGUAGGGAAUAUUGCUCAAUGGGGGAAAGACUGAAGCAGCAACGCCGCGUGGAGGAUGAAGGUUUUCGGAUUGUAAACUCCUUUUGUUAGAGAAGAUAAUGACGGUAUCUAACGAAUAAGCACCGGCUAACUCCGUGCCAGCAGCCGCGGUAAUACGGAGGGUGCAAGUGUUACGCGGAAUCACUGGGCGUGAAGAGCGCGUAGGCGGGAUAGCAAGUCAGAUGUGAAAUCCUAUGGCUUAACCAUAGAACUGCAUUUGAAACUGUUAUUAUAGAGUAUGGGAGAGGUAGGUGGAAUUCUUGGUGUAGGGGUAAAAUGCGUAGAGAUCAAGAGGAAUACUCAUUGCGAAGGCGACCUGCUAGAACAUAACUGACGCUGAUGCGCGAAAGCGUGGGGAGCAAACAGGAUUAGAUACCCUAGUAGUC